rnacentral:misc_RNA from 1 species
UUGGGUUUUUUUUUUUUUUGUAUAAAACUUUGAUUGGGUUAUAGACAUGACUUCCAUCUUGCUAACAAAACAACCUGGGUUACAAACUGUAUAUAUGUAUUCGACCUUCAUAUUACGUAGAAUGGAAUAUCAGUAUAUACUCAGUACUUGGAAAAAAAAAAUGCUAACAGUAAAAUGUGUUGUGGCCUUUGUUGUAUUUAGAUUUUCAAUAAAGAUGAGUGGAAAUAUCUAUGAUAUUAAUGAUGGUAGAAACUGGUCGGUUACUAAAUUGCAUGAUGUGAGCUGCAAAAACGUAUGAUAUGCAUCCAUCAUCUAUUUUAACGCUUGGGAAUGCUGUUUGAAGAAUUUCUUUAUUUAGAAAUAAUAUUGUAUUAUGAAACAUUACAGGGACAAAACAACAGAGUUAUGCAUAGAAUGGAUAUCUUAUGGUCACUGGUGCAGAUAUUGCAACCAAAAACUUCAAACUAGCAACAAAGGCCAGUCAGCUCUUGGAGAUUGUGGUGUUGCUCCACUGUAAAAUAGCUAGUAAUUUGUGAUCUUUGAAUGGCAUUUUUUUUAGUUGUGAUUCUUGUUUGUAUUCCCCUUUUCCUAAAAUAAAAGGAAAGGAGAAGAAAUGAAGGCCAGCAUUUAUGUGAAGGGCUUCUUUAUCUUGUACUUGGUAAUGCGUGUGAUAAGCAUCCAUUUUCCUCCCGGAUUUAAACCCAUCAUUUGUUUGAAAGUUAAAUUAUGAAAUAAUGUAGGAAGCCAUUGUUCAGUAUUACAUUAUCAGUAUCUUUCUUGGUUAAUUCCAU